rnacentral:rRNA from 1 species
UGCAGUCGAGCGCAGGAAGCAAGCUGAUCCCCUUCGGGGGUGACGCUUGUGGAAUGAGCGGCGGACGGGUGAGUAACACGUGGGCAACCUGCCUGUAAGACUGGGAUAACCCCGGGAAACCGGGGCUAAUACCGGAUAAUACUUUCUUUUGCAUAAAGGAAAGUUGAAAGGCGGCUUCGGCUGUCACUUACAGAUGGGCCCGCGGCGCAUUAGCUAGUUGGUGAGGUAACGGCUCACCAAGGCGACGAUGCGUAGCCGACCUGAGAGGGUGAUCGGCCACACUGGGACUGAGACACGGCCCAGACUCCUACGGGAGGCAGCAGUAGGGAAUCUUCCGCAAUGGACGAAAGUCUGACGGAGCAACGCCGCGUGAGUGAUGAAGGUUUUCGGAUCGUAAAACUCUGUUGUUAGGGAAGAACAAGUUGGGUAGUAACUGACCCAACCUUGACGGUACCUAACCAGAAAGCCACGGCUAACUACGUGCCAGCAGCCGCGGUAAUACGUAGGUGGCAAGCGUUGUCCGGAAUUAUUGGGCGUAAAGCGCUCGCAGGCGGUCCUUUAAGUCUGAUGUGAAAUCUCGCGGCUCAACCGCGAACGGUCAUUGGAAACUGGAGGACUUGAGUACAGAAGAGGAGAGUGGAAUUCCACGUGUAGCGGUGAAAUGCGUAGAGAUGUGGAGGAACACCAGUGGCGAAGGCGACUCUCUGGUCUGUAACUGACGCUGAGGAGCGAAAGCGUGGGGAGCGAACAGGAUUAGAUACCCUGGUAGUCCACGCCGUAAACGAUGAGUGCUAGGUGUUAGGGGUUUCCGCCCCUUAGUGCUGAAGUUAACGCAUUAAGCACUCCGCCUGGGGAGUACGGCCGCAAGGCUGAACUCAAAGAUUGACGGGGCCCGCACAGCGGUGGAGCAUGUGUUUAAUUCGAAGCA